UGCAAUAGUGUCUGCAUUUGGUGGUUGAU
rnacentral:piRNA from 1 species